GAGAUUUGAGGUGGUCGUCAGGUAGCUACCCCUGAAACCACAAAUCAUCUUGGUGUCACGUUCUUCCCACCAAAUUGUUAGUACCCCUUCGUGUGACCGGAACCCACAAUGGCUUGCAUUGGAUCCAUUAUUAACUUAUGCACUCGUAGCCUACGUGCUUUAUGUGUGCAAAUUAGUCCAACCUUAUAAUACAUGCAGUGGGACAUGGGAAGGACCACCGUACGUACUGCAUGCCUUCAAAUUCCACCACUAGGUGACCACACUGCUGUGGCC
rnacentral:lncRNA from 1 species